AUUUUAAAAAUGAUAGAGAAUAAACUAAUUUUUAUCAAAUCUUUAUUAUUCAAAAUUAUUAAUUGUCAUAUAUACUUUAGCCACAUUAGGUAAUUCCGUGAUUUUUAUUUAAAGAAACAAUGAAGAACAUUUAUGAUUAAUUUAUGGUUAGUUUAAUAGAAAGCUUAUUAUAUAUUUAUAUAGACCAACAUAUUUUUCUAAUGAUUCUAAAAAUGAUUAUAGUCAUGACAUGUAGCUACAAAAAUAUGUAGUAAUGCUUUUCUUUUAAUAUAUAGGGGAUAUAUAUCCUGUUUUUAGCAGUUAUAUGGUUUUUAGUAAUUUUUAAGGUUUUGGAGUUUGCUAUCUAUAUUUUAAGGUAUUAUAGGUGGUUGGACGCUUUUGGAGACCUAAAUAAACUUUAUAGGGAUUUAAAAAAAAAUUCGUAGUGAUUUGAAGCACUAAGAGAAAAUGGAAACAGAGGAUCGCUUGAUCCCAUUCCAGACCAGAACUGGAUCUAUCGUUUCAUUGAAAACAAACAAACUGGUUGGCUCAGCAAACCGCAUCGAUCAAUGCAACUUUCUAAUCGAUCGAUUUAAAAUUACAAACAAAGUGAUGGAUCGAUGCAGCAUCCCAAUUGAUCGAUUGGACGAGCACAAGACGAAGAAAUCUGUCGGAAAAAAAUGCAUUGGUCGAUUGAAAAAUCUCAUCGAUCAAUAGGACCCGCACGAGCUGAGUCUUUUGUCGUUCACAUGGAUGCAGAUCACCCGAUUUGGUUUACAGACUCAUUAUACAUAUAUUGAUGACAAAAAAAAAAGUAAAGGUUCAGAAGGACAUUGGGAAAUCUGGGGAGGUGAACUUCACAAAGCACAGUAACUUGUUACUGACUCAAAGCAGGCCUGGGCAUCCAGGUCUUUGGGUCGGGUCUUGUCGGGUCCUUCGGGUCCUAGAAAUUUAGACCCAUAUAGGUACAUAUAAUUUUUUGGGUCGGUUCCAGGUCGGAUCUUAUCGGGUCCGGAUCAGUUUGGAUCUAUAAUUUCAAUACCCGUAAAAUACCCAAAAUCUUCAGAUAUAUUUCGGAUCCGGGUUGGUUCGAGUUUUUAGGACCCGAAAUACCCGAACUUGACCCGAAAACUCUAAAAAUACCUAAAAAACCGCAAAAAUACCCAAAAUUUUAUCCAAAAUCAGAUCUGAAAACCCAAAACAUACCCGGAUUUUACCCGAAUACCCGAAUUAUAUUUUCUAAAAAUCUAAAAUUUUACCCGAAACCUACAAUUAUACCUGAAAAUCCAGAAACUUAAAAAAAAAUCCGAAAUACCAAAAAUAUACCCAAUCACCCAAAUAUACCUAGUAUAUACAAUUA